CCCUUAGAUGUCCUGGGCUGCACGCGCGCUACACUGAUGUGUCCAGUAAGCACCUAACCUCUUCCGAAAGGAACGGGUAACCUUUGCAAAGCACAUCGUGAUGGGGAUAGAUUAUUGCAAUUAUUAGUCUUGAACGAGGAAUUCCUAGUAAGCACAAGUCAUCAGCUUGUGUUGAUUACGUCCCUGCCCUUUGUACACACCGCCCGUCGCUCCUACCGAUUGAAUGGCUUAGUGAGGCCUCAGGAUCCGCGCUUAAUGUGUGGAGAAUUUGGACAAACUACGUCAUUUAGAGGAAGUAAAAGUCGUAACA
rnacentral:rRNA from 1 species